rnacentral:misc_RNA from 1 species
UCCGAGUUGACCCCGGCAGUCUCCUAUGAGUCCCCGCCAUGACGCGAUGGCAACUAAGGACAGGGGUUGCGCUCGUUGCGGCACUUAAGCCAACACCUCACGGCACGAGCUGACGACAACCAUGCACCACCUGUAAACCGACCGCAAGCGGGGCACCUGUUUCCAGGCGUUUCCGGUUCAUGUCAAGCCUUGGUAAGGUUCUUCGCGUUGCAUCGAAUUAAUCCGCAUGCUCCGCCGCUUGUGCGGGCCCCCGUCAAUUCCUUUGAGUUUUAGCCUUGCGGCCGUACUCCCCAGGCGGAACACUUAUCGCGUUGGCUGCGGCACAGACAGAUUCGACUCCGCCCACACCUAGUGUUCAUCGUUUACGGCGUGGACUAC